UACGAAGGGGGCUAGCGUUGUUCGGAAUCACUGGGCGUAAAGCGCACGUAGGCGGAUCUUUAAGUCAGGGGUGAAAUCCCGAGGCUCAACCUCGGAACUGCCUUUGAUACUGGGGAUCUCGAGUCCGGGAGAGGUGAGUGGAACUGGCGAGUGUAGAGGUGAAAUUCGUAGAUAUUCGCAAGAACACCAGUGGCGAAGGCGGCUCACUGGCCCGGAACUGACGCUGACGGUGCGAAAGCGUGGGGAGCGAGUCCGG
rnacentral:rRNA from 1 species